UAAAGAAUGAACGGAAUGUGAACAAAGGUAAUGAAACAAAGAGAAAGCACGCUUUGUUCCCAUUCGUUCCUUCUUUUCCCUUUUUUCGUGUGUGUUUUGUUUCUUCUUUUGUUCUCUUUCUU
rnacentral:ribozyme from 1 species